rnacentral:rRNA from 1 species
UACGGAGGGUGCGAGCGUUGUCCGGAAUCAUUGGGCGUAAAGGGCGCGUAGGUGGCGGGACAAGCGUGCGGUGAAAGCCUGGGGCUCAACCCCGGGUCGGCCGUGCGAACUGUUUUGCUUGAGCACUGUAGAGGCAGGCGGAAUUCCGGGUGUAGCGGUGGAAUGCGUAGAGAUCCGGAAGAACACCGGUGGCGAAGGCGGCCUGCUGGGCAGUAGCUGACACUGAGACGCGAAAGCGUGGGGAGCAAACAGGG